CACUCGUUGAAUGGGGGAUAACUAGCCGAAAGGUUAGCUAAUACCGCAUACGAUCUUUCGAAGGCAUCUUUGAAAGAUGAAAGGAGCAAUUCGUUCAACGACGGGACCGCGUCCCAUUAGCUAGAUGGUGGGGUAAUGGCCUACCAUGGCAACGAUGGGUAGCUGGUCUGAGAGAGCGACCAGCCACACUGGGACUGAGAGACGGCCCAG
rnacentral:rRNA from 1 species